UGAACGCUGGCGGUAGGCCUAACACAUGCAAGUCGAACGGCAGCACAGUAAGAGCUUGCUCUUACGGGUGGCGAGUGGCGGACGGGUGAGGAAUACAUCGGAAUCUACUUUUUCGUGGGGGAUAACGUAGGGAAACUUACGCUAAUACCGCAUACGACCUACGGGUGAAAGCAGGGGAUCUUCGGACCUUGCGCGAUUGAAUGAGCCGAUGUCGGAUUAGCUAGUUGGCGGGGUAAAGGCCCACCAAGGCGACGAUCCGUAGCUGGUCUGAGAGGAUGAUCAGCCACACUGGAACUGAGACACGGUCCAGACUCCUACGGGAGGCAGCAGUGGGGAAUAUUGGACAAUGGGCGCAAGCCUGAUCCAGCCAUACCGCGUGGGUGAAGAAGGCCUUCGGGUUGUAAAGCCCUUUUGUUGGGAAAGAAAAGCAGCAGGUUAAUACCCCGCUGUUCUGACGGUACCCAAAGAAUAAACACCGGCUAACUUCGUG
rnacentral:rRNA from 1 species